rnacentral:rRNA from 1 species
AUAGGGCGAAUUGGAGCUCCACCGGCGGUGCGGCCGCUCUAGAACAGUGGAUCCCCCGGGAAGAGUUAUCUUUUCUCCUUAAACAGUCUAUAACCCUGAAAUCAGUUUGUCUGGAGCUAGGGUUCAUGCUGGUAGAGCACAACUCCUCUGUUGUGUCCGGUGCGUUCUCAACAGUCCGUGAAAAUCCAACCCAAUGAAUAAUUUUCACACCUGGUCGUACUCAUAACCGCAGCACCUCUCCAAGGUGAACAGCCUCUAGUUGAUAGAACAAUGUAGAUAAGGGAAGUC